rnacentral:rRNA from 1 species
UCGAGCGGAUGAAGGGAGCUUGCUCCUGGAUUCAGCGGCGGACGGGUGAGUAAUGCCUAGGAAUCUGCCUGGUAGUGGGGGAUAACGUCCGGAAACGGGCGCUAAUACCGCAUACGUCCUGAGGGAGAAAGUGGGGGAUCUUCGGACCUCACGCUAUCAGAUGAGCCUAGGUCGGAUUAGCUAGUUGGUGGGGUAAAGGCCUACCAAGGCGACGAUCCGUAACUGGUCUGAGAGGAUGAUCAGUCACACUGGAACUGAGACACGGUCCAGACUCCUACGGGAGGCAGCAGUGGGGAAUAUUGGACAAUGGGCGAAAGCCUGAUCCAGCCAUGCCGCGUGUGUGAAGAAGGUCUUCGGAUUGUAAAGCACUUUAAGUUGGGAGGAAGGGCAGUAAGUUAAUACCUUGCUGUUUUGACGUUACCAACAGAAUAAGCACCGGCUAACUUCGUGCCAGCAGCCGCGGUAAUACGAAGGGUGCAAGCGUUAAUCGGAAUUACUGGGCGUAAAGCGCGCGUAGGUGGUUCAGCAAGUUGGAUGUGAAAUCCCCGGGCUCAACCUGGGAACUGCAUCCAAAACUACUGAGCUAGAGUACGGUAGAGGGUGGUGGAAUUUCCUGUGUAGCGGUGAAAUGCGUAGAUAUAGGAAGGAACACCAGUGGCGAAGGCGACCACCUGGACUGAUACUGACACUGAGGUGCGAAAGCGUGGGGAGCAACAGGAUUAGA